rnacentral:rRNA from 1 species
UACGUAGGGUGCGAGCGUUGUCCGGAAUUAUUGGGCGUAAAGAGCUUGUAGGCGGUUUGUCGCGUCUGCUGUGAAAUCUCAAGGCUCAACCUUGAGCUUGCAGUGGGUACGGGCAGACUAGAGUGUGGUAGGGGAGACUGGAAUUCCUGGUGUAGCGGUGAAAUGCGCAGAUAUCAGGAGGAACACCGGUGGCGAAGGCGGGUCUCUGGACCGGAACUGACGCUGAUGCGCGAAAGCGUGGGGAGCAAACGGG